UACCAGCCGGGGAGUUAGCGGUGCCUUGUACCCGAGAUCCGCUGUAGCGGGGGUGGAUUCCCCGAACGAGGGUGGAGUCGACGCGGUCUGCAGCCUGCCUGUCUGUGUUGAAGGACGGGUCUCGCGCAAUCGGACGCUGUGAAUCAUGUCAGGUGGGGAACCAAGCAGCAUUAAGCGGUAAGUCCGGUGUGCCGCGGGGUUGCCUGUCCGGAGCAGACGACAGUAUAUGCGCGCGGCGGUAAUAUUCG
rnacentral:SRP_RNA from 1 species